UGUCUGAUGGCCUAGUGGUUAGAGCGUACGCAUCAGAUGCGAGAGGUCCUUGGUUCGAACCCAGGCUGAGUCAU